rnacentral:lncRNA from 1 species
UGGGAUUUAAAGCAACGAUUUCAAGCUGCCACGGGUCUGAACAAGUUGAGGAAAUGCUGUGUGCACCUUAGGCAGCUCACGACAGGGCGCAGGAGAGAUGAUCACCAAUGGGCUAAUGCGUAUUCUGCCAGACCUCUUCCAUCUUGGGCCUGGCGAUUUUGGAAUGCUGUGGACGUUGACAGUCGUUACAACUUUCUUCAGAAUAUGUGCGUAUGCUGCUUUCCUCUGGAGAUCUGUCCUUGCUGUAAAAGCAGAAGUAGGAGGACCUUCCUGAUUCCUGGGAACACCCAGCAUGCUGAACCCAGUGGGGUGCCCAUGCAUGGGUGCUGGACCAGGUGCACCUCCUCUGGCGUGGUCACCUACGAUGCCUCAGCCUGCACUACAUGAGGCAGGAUCUGCAGCCGGGAGCUUCUUCGUGCCAAAGGAGGAGGAAGGCCAGGAGAGCGAGGGCAAGGUGAGCGUGCGGUCCGGCGGGCCGGCCACAUCGCGAGGACCAGCCUGCAUGCCCAACGCCACGGGCGUCGCGGCGGCCACGAGCUCGGGGCCGCCAGCCCCUCCUGCGGCCGGGGGGCCUCUGAGCCAUCCGCCCUCGCCUCCACCUGCCCCCCGCGGAUUGGGAUUUUUUUGGAUAUUUUUCAAAGAAUUACACCCAAGCAUUUCAUGCAUGCCCACACUUAAAUCCCCAGCUUGUCGUUAUUACUGCCUACCUGCAAAUUGCUCUAUUGGCCAUUUACUGCUGGAAGAAGCUCUU